rnacentral:misc_RNA from 1 species
AAAGUCGUAACAAGGUUUCCGUAGGUGAACCUGCGGAAGGAUCAUUACUGAACCAACACCGUCCACCUUCUUGUAGUGGACCAUUCAACGGCCUGUCAUCGGAAUUUGAUGAUGAUCAACUCGGCUCGUUGCCCAACAUUGGGCGAUGGGUGAUUCUUGAUUUUGAUGCUCAUUUACCAGGUUGGAUUGAAACGCUCAUCACUUAGUGCCUACAUGCGGCAGACCUGUGUUGGAUGGGUGCCUUUUUCAAGAGGUUGAAGUUGGUCAGAUGUCGUGGUGGCAGGCCUUUGGUCUCCUAUGAAUUUCUUUUCCACCACACAGAACUGUCAUCGUACGGUGUUGCCGCUAAACAAAUAAUAUAACUUUCAACAACGGAUCUCUUGGCUCUC